rfam:Homo sapiens chromosome 15, GRCh38 reference primary assembly.
GCCAGGCGUGGUGGCGGGCGCCUAUAAUCCCAGCUACUCGGGAGGCUGAGGCAGGAGAAUCGCUUGAACCUGGGAGGCGGAGGUUGCAGUGAGCCAAGAUCCCGCCACUGCACUCCAGCCAGGGAGACAGAGUGAGACUCCAUUUCCAAAAAAAAAAAAGGUAACUACUUUUUGUUUGUUUGUUUGUUUGUUUGUUUGAGACGGAGUCACACUCUGUCGCCCCCGGCUGGAGUGCAGUGGCGCGAUCUCGGCUCACUGCAAACUCCGCCUCCCGGGUUCAUGCGAUUCUCCUGCCUCAG